rnacentral:rRNA from 1 species
GAUGAACGCUGGCGGCGUGCCUAAUACAUGCAAGUCGAGCGAACAGACGAGGAGCUUGUUCCUCUGACGUUAGCGGCGGACGGGUGAGUAACACGUGGAUAACCUACCUAUAAGACUGGGAUAACUUCGGGAAAACGGAGCUACUACCGGAUAAUAUAUUUAACCGCAUUGUUCAAUAGUGAAAGACGGUUUUGCUGUCACUUAUAGAUGGUUCCGCGCCGCAUUAGCUAGUUGGUAAGGUAACGGCUUACCAAGGCGACGAUGCGUAGCCGACCUGAGAGGGUGAUCGGCCACACUGGAACUGAGACACGGUCCAGACUCCUACGGGAGGCAGCAGUAGGGAAUCUUCCGCAAUGGGCGAAAGCCUGACGGAGCAACGCCGCGUGAGUGAUGAAGGUCUUCGGAUCGUAAAACUCUGUUAUUAGGGAAGAACAAAUGUGUAAGUAACUAUGCACGUCUUGACGGUACCUAAUCAGAAAGCCACGGCUAACUACGUG